rnacentral:rRNA from 1 species
UACAGAGGGGGCAAGCGUUGUUCGGAAUUACUGGGCGUAAAGGGCGCGUAGGCGGCCGCCUAAGUCAGACGUGAAAUCCCUCGGCUUAACCGGGGAACUGCGUCUGAUACUGGAUGGCUUGAGGUUGGGAGAGGGAUGCGGAAUUCCAGGUGUAGCGGUGAAAUGCGUAGAUAUCUGGAGGAACACCGGUGGCGAAGGCGGCAUCCUGGACCAAUUCUGACGCCGAGGAGCGAAAGCCAGGGGAGCAAACGGG